AAUGCUUCUAACCAAAGAAGGGCUACCAAGUGCUGUUAGUGAUCAUAUUUGAGAAAGAAAGGUGUUUUCCUACCUCUCCUGUGCCUGGAAGUUUUGCUGCAUUCUCUGGGGAAAGGAGGCUGUUUACUCUUGCAGAUGUAUAGGGGUAUUAUGCACAACUAAGCUGUUCUAGCAUUUUUCAGGGUGAAAAACAGUAAACUUCUUGAGGCCUGGACUGUCAGAUCGUGGAGGAAAAAGUCUGGAAAAAACAUUCUCUGAAAAAAAAGAUCUGUCCUAGGGCAAAAUGCCUUCAGAAAUGUGCCCUGGCCACUGGUGCUGUAAGACAUUGAGGAUGACAGUUACACUGCUACGUCCUGUCGCUUGUACCUUCAGUUCACUGCCAAAGGUGUUUCAUGCUGUGGUAUGGAAGAAAUGCUUUGUCAACGAUCUUCAAAAAAGAGGAAGAGGUAUGCAGCCAACAAGAAGGUGAAAGCAGCCAUGAAAACAAUCGUGUUUCAUUGACAAAUGGAUAGCAUAGUACUACUGGUUCAUUUCUAAUAAGCUCAUUCCUUCAGCCAAGGAGAAAGGGAUAUGUCAGCAUGCAAAGACUACAACUACUCCAUGAAGAUAUGAAGUGAUGGCAUAAAACAAUUCAAAGGUAUUCCACUGAGGCAGAUGAAUUUAAACAUGGCCACAGGCGUAAGAAGAUUUGGAACGCAUGUCCAUUAAACUCACAAAUAGCUUGCCAGAUGGAGCAAAUGGAAAAAACUCUCUUCCUGACAACUAUAAAUGUUGCACAAAGAUUAAUAUAAUGAGAUUGAGCUGCUACAUUGACUGUAGCAGGGUUCUGAGUUCCCAUUUUUCCAUUCAUCUGUUUGUGCCAACACAUGCCUAUCACUGUCUGAGGAACUUUACAGUGAAAGAAAUUAAAAGUGGAUAACCUGGGUUAUGAAGUUAAAAUAGCUAGAACCUUCUUCCCCACUCUGCACCCUUUCAUAUAAGACUUGAUCCCUGAAGCAAGCUUCCAUUGGCUUCCCAAGUUCCUGUGAUGAUAUACAGAGGGUCCUUGAAGAUAAUUCUGAUGGUCUGAGUGAGUCCUUUGUUAGUAGUGGUGGCCUACAAGAAUCUUCGAUCUCUUCUCCCACUACCCUCUUUAUUAAUCUGUCCUGGGCAACCUGAUGAAAGUAUCCCUGCAUGGAAGAGUGGUGACCAGCUGACCUCCAGGUUGGAACCUUCACUAUUCUGUGAUUAAAAAUACUCAUAUUUAUUAAUUUUGUUUGUUUUGUUUUUACUUAUUGGUUUAUUGGUAAGCAUAGCAUUUACAUAUAUGAAUUAAUACUUGUGUUGUGUGAAAACAUGGGUUGGUCUGGAAAUUUUUUAAUGAGUGAUUUCUAACUCUGCAGUUGGAUAUUCGGUGUAUUAUUCUGGUGUGAUUUUCAGUGAACCCUUUUAUCUCCCACUGCUUGAAUAUUUAGUGGAAACAACUGUUAACCCAUUUCCUGCACAGAACAGCCUGUAUGAACAUAGGUUGUCCAGUAUUUCUGUCAGUCUUUCCUGUAUUAGGUGAAUUUUCUAUGGAUAUUAAUAAUAUUUUAAUUUUAUUCAUGAGUAUUUGUAACUGUUUGACUCUCUCCUUUAAAUGAUGAUGUGUUGGGCUUUUAUUUUAUUAUUUUUAAUGUCCAUAAAACAUUUUCACAGUGAGUACUUUUCCACUUACAUUUGUGAGAAUUUUGUAUAUAAGAAAGCUUCUUACAAAAAAACACUGACUCACCUGAGUAAGCAAGUGAAGAAGUCCGUACUGAAGGGAAGGAAAUGAACAAAUUUUAUUUGCAGUAAUAUUUGCAUUCUCCCUUUGGCCUAAAAUCUACCUGGAUUCAAAGUACUACUGUAUCCUGUAUAGCCGACAUAUUCUACUUCCCAGUACUUUGUUCAAUAGUUAGUGUCAAUUAUCUAUUUGAUCAAGGACAAAAUCAGAGAAAGCAACUGUGAUAUUUGUUAAUGACAAACUUUACAUUAUGUAAAUGAAAGCAGUGUUGUCUACCUUGGAUACCUCUUUUUAAGCUUCUUUUUGAGAUACUUUUAAAUAAAAAUACACUGAAUUUCAAGUGUGAGGUCAAUCUGAGAUGCAAUUAAACAGCAGAGUGAAAAAUCAACGUAGAUAGUGAAAAUUUAUAAACAUGCAUUUAGGCAUUCAAGUGUUGGGCAUGAGAUAUGUGGAAAUGCUGGAAAGUGUUGCAUUAAAACUGCUUAUAAAAGUGAUAACUUAGUGACCUAAUUUUCCAAAAAGCCCAUUGGAAGUUAAAGAAAUAUAUGCACCGAAGUACCCAGUUUUCUUUUAGAAUAAACUUUCUUUUAGUUAAGAAGUUCCUAAUUUCUCUGGAAAAUAGUAUGUCACAUUUUGGGUUUAAUCCAACUUCAGUGGUAUAUGUUGGUUUCAUUAACACAAAAUCAAAAUGUAUAUGUCUUUUUUUUUUUUUUUUCAAAUUCACAGGCUAAAGAGUAUUGUAUUUAUUUCUACUUGCUGAACUAUAAACUGAGUAUGUACAUACUUAAAAAAAAGUUUUUAAUAACAUGAUGUUAAAAUUAAAUGGUGCCACUCAUUUACUAUGUGUCAAUCUAUAAUUUAAUGAAACUGUAAAUUGUUGAUGCAACACUGUUUCAUUACAAUUACAUGAAAUUCUUGGAAACUUUUCACUCAGUGUGAUUUUGUUAGAACCGAUAAAUCAAUAAAAAUGAA